rnacentral:rRNA from 1 species
AGCGAACGCUGGCGGCAGGCCUAACACAUGCGAGUCGAACGAUCCUUCGGGAUAGUGGCGGACGGGUGAGUAACACGUGGGAACGUGCCUUUUGGUUCGGAACAACUCAGGGAAACUUGAGCUAAUACCGGAUGUGCCCUUCGGGGGAAAGAUUUAUCGCCAUUAGAGCGGCCCGCGUCUGAUUAGCUAGUUGGUGGGGUAAAGGCCUACCAAGGCGGCGAUCAGUAGCUGGUCUGAGAGGAUGAUCAGCCACAUUGGGACUGAGACACGGCCCAAACUCCUACGGGAGGCAGCAGUGGGGAAUCUUGCGCAAUGGGCGAAAGCCUGACGCAGCCAUGCCGCGUGAAUGAUGAAGGUCUUAGGAUUGUAAAAUUCUUUCACCGGGGACGAUAAUGACGGUACCCGGAGAAGAAGCCCCGGCUAACUUCGUGCCAGCCGCCGCAGUAA